rnacentral:tRNA from 1 species
GCUGUGGUGGCUGAGUGGUUAAGGUGUUGGACUAGAAAUCCACUAGGGUUUCCCUGCACAGAUUCAAAUCCUGUUCACAGUG